rnacentral:sRNA from 1 species
CCCAUGUGGGGAAGGAUGAGAAGCUUCGACUAAGGUUCGAUUCGAGCGCAGCGAGAAAGCGUUGCCGCAGGCAACGACCCGAAGGGCGAAGCGCGCAGCGCUGAGUCAUCCUUCCCCCACCACCA